AGUGAACGCUGGCGGUAGGCCUAACACAUGCAAGUCGAACGGCAGCACAGUAAGAGCUUGCUCUUACGGGUGGCGAGUGGCGGACGGGUGAGGAAUACAUCGGAAUCUACUUUUUCGUGGGGGAUAACGUAGGGAAACUUACGCUAAUACCGCAUACGACCUACGGGUGAAAGCAGGGGAUCUUCGGACCUUGCGCGAUUGAAUGAGCCGAUGUCGGAUUAGCUAGUUGGCGGGGUAAAGGCCCACCAAGGCGACGAUCCGUAGCUGGUCUGAGAGGAUGAUCACCCACACUGGAACUGAGCCACGGUCCAGACUCCUACGGGAGGCAGCAGUGGCGAAUAUUGGACAAUGGGCGCAAGCCUGAUCCAGCCAUACCGCGUGGGUGAAGAAGGCCUUCGGGUUGUAAAGCCCUUUUGUUGGGAAAGAAAAGCAGCAGGUUAAUACCCCGCUGUUCUGACGGUACCCAAAGAAUAAGCACCGGCUAACUUCGUG
rnacentral:rRNA from 1 species